UCACCAGUACAACAACAAACUAUUGAACAAACAUAAAAAAAAAAUUCAAUUUUUAUGGAGGUCAUUGAGAAUAAAACAAUUUUUUCCUAUAAAAUGUUUGGCUUAAAGACCGUCGUCCACCAUUAUUAUUUGUAUAAUAUCAACGUAACACUGAAAUCGCUACGACAGAAUGCAUUAAAAAGAAUACGAAUCAUUAAAGUCUUAAAUUCCUGCAAAACAUCAAGUGUCCUACAUCGAGUGUAAAAAAAAAAACUAUGUAUUUUAAAUAUGCUAAUAUAUUUGUAUACUUGUUUGUUUAUUUUCAAAUAGCAAACACGUUUACUGAUAAGCAACUGGAAAAAAUACAUUCCGAAGUCAAAAUUUUAAGUGCCAAAGCAAAUUGUCCUUUUGGUUGCUUUGGAUGUUUUGGAACAGUUAACAAGAUAGAUACAAGAAGCUACUUAAAUAAACACUUAUCAGAAUAUGGACUAACUAUGGAAAGCAUGAGAGCGAUAACAGAGGGCUUGCCGAAGGUCGAUGGUCAUAUAAAGAAAAAGGCUUUUAUAGAUCAUAUGAAACAAAAGUAUAACGAGUAUUAUGGGAUUGUUAAUGACGUGGUACCGUCCACGGGUGAAAAGUAACUAAUGUGGACGCUACAAUACCGGCCGGUGUAGGAUUUCUACAUUUUCCAUCUCUAGGCAAGUAAUAUUUUUCACUCUUUUAACAAUACAUUUUUCGUUUAUU